rnacentral:lncRNA from 1 species
AGUACAGGCUUUGGUCCACAGAGACAACAAUACUUUCAAUACUCUUUUGUUCUGCCCCAGAGGAGCUCAACACAGAAUUGCCUAGAACAAGAAACUGGUGAGAGAAGCUGCAGCCUGUUGAGACUCCACAAGACUGAAGAUAUGAAAAGAGGAAAUAUGCAUGAAUGCCCGCACGGAGAACCACCCCCACCUGCUGCUCCCGCUCUAAUGAUCACGCCCAUUAUCAACUGGGGGAUGGCUCUGUGCCUUGUCCUUGCAUUACAUGGACCAAGAACACUUCACAGGACUCAGAGAGUAACACUGAAGAAUGCAGUUUACUUACAUCUUUUUCUGUUUGACAGAAGACAGUUAUUAGUUACCCUUGGGACAUCAAAAUGACCAAGGCAGUGUCUGCUAAGUAUUUGCUGAGACUCUGCUAUGAUUCUUUCAAGUCUAAAGACAGUUAUCUGAAUGAUAUCCCCGUGACAGUGGACUCCUGCACAUUCACAGUCCUGGAAGGAGCCUGUCCACAUUGGCAUUCUGGAAGUCCAUAAAAGACAAACGCAUAUGCAGUCCCCGAGAAAGCAUUGUUGUAAACAAAUCUGCACUAGAUGGAAACUCUGUUAUGUGGUGCCGGCAUGCAUGGAAGAGAACCCGAAAGGAAGAAGCUAUACGACUGGGGACACAUGUCUUAGAAGCACACUCAUUAGAUAAAGUGUCGCAUACUCUUUGAUAAGACAACCCUUACAAGAUUUUUGCCCAGCGAAAGUGGCACGUGGAACAUGGAAUGACAUUUCAUAAAGAUAAAUCCAGAGAUUAGUGCUGAAGACUACACCCCUGUGUAGUCCCACACAGGCUACCCCAGACCAGCCUGGCGGGCUCUGCACUAGGCCUCCCAUCAGGCGAGAGCCAACGCUCCUCAGCCCGGCUCCACCUCAUUCAGAAGAAAGUGUGUCUCCCGGCCUCACAUUGCGCUGAAUGCAAGGAUACCGAGAUAAACCAGGCUUUCCUUCGCUCAGAGUACAGUUGCAGACUUGGUAAUGACUGAGCCAAGCCAGACUGACUGUGAUAAGAUAAUAAAUUAACUACCAGUCAGGAGCUAAGUCAGCAGAUGUGCGAACAUUUUAGAGGUAACAUCAUAAACUAGAACAGAGGAGCUCUUGGGAAGAAAAAGGGCUUGGAAAUUAUACCUGGAAAGAUACCGCUAAUAAUGAUCAAGAAGAAAAAACAAAUCCAGUUUGGAAGUGAGCAAUCAUUUAUGAUGUAAAAUAUUUCUUAGAAAUGGAAUCUAGAUAAUGCUUGGAAUAUGCUUUAAACUACCUAUAUUUAAUUUGUUUUUCUUGUGAUUUUUGUAUUGUUUGGUGUAAAAUAAUCUUAAUCUUUCCAGGUGGUGUCUAAUUAAGGCACAUUUACUGAUAUGAGUCAUUUUCUAAAUAUACUUUAUCUAAGAAAAUUUAAAAUUUUUGGAUCAACUAAAAACUCUCUCAAUUAUUUUAGAGUUAACUCUUCCAAAUUCUAAAAUGUAUUCAUAAAUUAUAUACAACUAUUUUAAUGGUCACUGUGGGCCCAACUUCUGUAUAUAAAUUUACCUUCUUAUUUUACAGGUGCUAAUGUUUAAAGAUACUUAAAUAUGCCAAUUUCUUUCCUCUAUGUAGAAGUUUGAAAUACAUUCUAUGCCCUGAGAGAACCCUUUGAAAUUUGAACACAUAGAGUAUUGUUAUGUGCUUUCAAAACUUUGUGUUGUAUAGGACCCUCUUUUAGCUGAAUAUUUUUCAAGCAGUAAGCCUGUCCUGCAUCGCACAUGUACUGGGACACCCAUGGACAAAAUCAUAAGACUCUGUCUUCCUGACAGAUUUCCCUCCUCUCCUGGGGAAUUCUCUAAUGAUGUCACUCUUUUUUUGUGCCCUGUAUGGUUUUUUUUUUUCAGUUUCUUCUGUGUGAUGCACGUGAUGCUGUUACACUGCAGGGUAGCGUUUUUAAAAAAUCUGAUUUACAGUUUGUCCUACUAUUAUAUAUUUUGCUUAUAAAAACCUUGUGUUUUUUCAAAAAUUCCUAACAGACUUAUUUAGGUCUAACUGACCUAAAAUAAACCACACAUGGUACAGUGUACAGUUUGAUGGGCUUCGACAUAAGCACAUAUAAUGGGUUGAAUUAUGUCCCUCACGAGAUAUGUUAAAGUCCUAAACCCUGUUUCUCAUUUGCGAAUAGGGCCUUUAUUUGGAAAUAGGGUCAUUGCAGGUAUAAUUAGCUAAGAUGAGGUUGUAGUGGAGUGGAGUGGGCCCUUAAUCCCCUUAAUCCUAAAUGAGGGGUGUCAUCAUAAGAAAGACACUGGCAAACAGAUACAGACACAGAGGGAAGAACGCCACAUGACAAGGAGGCAGGGGGUGGAGUGAUGCUGCCACACGUCAAGAAGAACCUGCGGCCACCAGAGUUAGAAGAGGCAAGAAAGGAUUCUCUCGUGGAGGCCUCGGACUGGCAUCGCCUUGCCAACAACGCUGAUGGUGGGCUUCCAGCCUCCAGAAUUGUAAGGCAAUAAAUUCAUGUUGUUUUAAGCC